AGAGCGAACGCUGGCGGCAGGCCUAGCACAUGCAAGUCGAGCGCCCCGCAAGGGGAGCGGCAGACGGGAGAGUAACACGUGGGAACGUACCCUUCAGUUCGGAACAACCCAGGGAAACUUGGGCUAAUACCGAAUACUUCCGUAAGGAGAAAGAUUUAUCGCUGAAGGAUCGGCCCGCGUCUGAUUAGCUAGUUGGUGAGGUAACGGCUCACCAAGGCUACGAUCAGUAGCUGGUCUGAGAGGAUGAUCAGCCACAUUGGGACUGAGACACGGCCCAAACUCCUACGGGAGGCAGCAGUGGGGAAUAUGGACAAUGGGCGCAAGCCUGAUCCAGCCAUGCCGCGUGAGUGAUGACGGCCUUAGGGUUGUAAAGCUCUUUCGCUCGGGACGAUAAUGACGGUACCGAGAUAAGAAGCCCCGGCUAACUUCGUGCCAGCAGCCGC
rnacentral:rRNA from 1 species